rfam:Ornithorhynchus anatinus chromosome 5, whole genome shotgun sequence.
CACCUCUCAGGAUCACAUCUGGAGAGUUUCCAGUACUCUACCAGUCUCGGCUAUGGGAGGGCGAGUCAAGAAGAGGCUUACCCAUUCCAUUCCUAGGUUGGGCAGUGGCUAGCGAGUGAGAGGCAAUCUGCUACAAGU